rnacentral:rRNA from 1 species
GGCGAGUGAAGCGGUAAAAGCUCAAAUUUGAAAUCUGGUACUUUCAGUGCCCGAGUUGUAAUUUGUAGAAUUUGUCUUUGAUUAGGUCCUUGUCUAUGUUCCUUGGMACAGGACGUCAUAGAGGGUGAGAAUCCCGUUUGGCGAGGAUACCUUUUCUCUGUAAGACUUUUUCGAAGAGUCGAGUUGUUUGGGAAUGCAGCUCAAAGUGGGUGGUAAAUUCCAUCUAAAGCUAAAUAUUGGCGAGAGACCGAUAGCGAACAAGUACAGUGAUGGAAAGAUGAAAAGAACUUUGAAAAGAGAGUGAAAAAGUACGUGAAAUUGUUGAAAGGGAAGGGCAUUUGAUCAGACAUGGUGUUUUUUGCAUGCACUCGCCUCUCGUGGGCUUGGGCCUCUCAAAAAUUUCACUGGGCCAACAUCAAUUCUGGCAGCAGGAUAAAUCAUUAAGAAUGUAGCUACUUCGGUAGUGUUAUAGCUUUUUGKAAUACUGUUAGCCGGGAUUGAGGACUGCGCUUCGGCAAGGAUGUUGGCAUAAUGGUUAAAUGCCGCCCGUCUUGRAACACGGAC